rnacentral:lncRNA from 1 species
AUGCAGCCCACAGCUGUGAUGUGCUCCCUUAUCCUUAGCUUUGAUGUUGACCGCCACAGGGCCUCCUCCUCCUCUCUUGCACCCGCCUCCCUCCUCCCUCACAGGUCACAGGGUGGUCCCUCCGUGGAGAAGGUGGCUCGCAGAUCAGCUUCACUUGAACGUCUGAGGCAAGCAGGUCCAGAAAAAGGCCCACUGAAAAGGGACCUAUCCGAGCCUGAAGCUUCUCUGCUUCGGCGACAGUUCGGGACCCAGGUGGAGACCGUGUCCGUCUGCAUGUCUGCCCUGAGCGGCUGCGACUCCCAGCCCCGUUCUCCGUGCUUUGUCCACCAAGGACAGCCACCCGGAGAGAAAGAGCUCCAACCCCCCACUUGGCCUUUUCUUCUCUAUAAGACGACCGCCCCAGGCAGGAGGGACCCCGUGAGGCCCUCCUACCCACCGUGGACGCCCCCCUGCCAUACUCAGGUUUGCGACAGAGUGGGGUGAAUCAGUAGUGGCCACAUGAAUCAGUAAAUGAAUGGGGGGCAUCAACCCCGUUUCUCUCUCCUGCUCUGCCCUCCCUCCCCUCCGUGUCUGGAAGCCGCUGGGGGCCCAGUCCCCCCACUGCCUCUCCUUGUGGGUCGGCCACAACCAGGUAGGUGCUCCUGACCCAGCAUCCCUCGGGGUUCAGGGCUGUCGGGCUGAGCAGAGUCAGGGGCAUCUCCUCAGUUCAAGGCCACACUCUGUGCACAGGAACCCAGACCCCCACUUCCUCUUCUGAGGGUCCUCAAAGAUUCUGGCCCUAUAGCCUCUCCCAGCUGCCAGCCACCUCCCCAACAAAAACGCAGCUUUGCCCCUUAAUGUGGGGCCUGGAGAACUGAAAGCAGGACAAUAACAAAAUUCUCGGACCCAGGCAUAAUUACCUCC